rnacentral:lncRNA from 1 species
AACACAAGAAAUUAUUUCGGCCUAAACCCCGAAAGUUUGACGACAACUUUCAAUACCUCAUCUCCUGUUGAGCACCCAAUACUAUGGAUUACGCUCGGUUGCACUAGAUAGCCCAAAUUGGCAACAGAGAUUACAAAAUGUUUAACCCAGUACAAAGAGAUAAAGAACCAAAAGCACUGAUAUCUCAAAAGUUCCCAAAUCCUCGAAGAAUCACCAAAAAACUUUACAAAAACUUUUUGAACAUUUUUGACUCAGGCAGAACCUUAGUUCUCACAGAUAGUUACUCAGAAUAUCACUCAUUACAGACUAAACCACACAUAUUACGAUUUGAGAAACAACAGAAUAAAAACCUUAACGAAACGAGAGGUAUUUUUCUCUCUCCCAAACCAAGAGUCAAGUCUCAAAACUAUAUGAUAAACCCAACUGGCCAAACACUGAAAAGGCACCAAUAUAGAAGCUUCCAGUAUCACAAGCCAAUGGCCAAGAUUAAGCCACGUGUCAACAUCCAAGUAAGGGCGGUCACUUAAGAAAUCACAUUUCACAAAAACGUUUCUUUCACAAAUUCUAGUAACACCAACAUAUAACUAGGGUUCAAAUCCAACAUUCUUUACCUUGUUGCCAGAAUUUGAAACUACUAAUGCAGACAGGAGCAUAGUCACAAUAUCUUUAUCACUUGAUCUAAGUAACCUAAAAAACACAUUACAUUGAAUCAAUAGAUAAGUGUUUCAAGCAAGUUUCAAAUUUAUUCAAAGGAAUCACUUUAGUGUCCAAAUCAAAUGGAUUAACUUGUGUAGCAAUUUUACCAAUUUUGAAAAUUUCUUUUGAAAUUACAUCUCUUAUAUAGUGGUAUUUAACAUCAAUAUGCUUUGUUCUAUUAUGAAACAUAUGAUUUUUGCUAAGAUGAAUAGCACUUUGAUUAUCAAAAAAUAAAGUAGCAUGAGUAUCAACAAAUCCUAACUUAGAUAAUAAGCCACUUAACCACAUUCACUCUUUUACGACAUCGAUAACAACAAUGUAUUCUGCUUCUGUAGAGGAAAGGGCAACAACCUUCUGAAGUUGUGAUUUCCAACUAACUAUAGUUCCACAUAAUGCAUAAAAAUAAGAUGAAGUUGAUCUUCUAUUAUCUCUAUCACUAGCAAAAUCAAAAUCUGUAUAUCCUUUAAGAGUUACACCACUUUUAUUUGGUUUGACAAUUAGAUCCAAAUUAGGGUUUCUUUAAGAUAUCUUAGUAACCAUUUUAAUACAUUCCAAUAGUUCUUCCUCAGGGUUACUCAUAAAUCUGCUUAAAAUGCUAACACUAUAUGCAAGAUGAGGCCUAGUACAAAUCAUUAAGUACAUAAUAGAACCAAUAGUAUUUGCAUAAGGAACUUUAGACAUUCUAUUACAUUUAUCUUCAGAUUUAGGAUAGUAUUCAAAAGACAAUUUAAAGUGAUUUGCAAGAGGUAAGGUUACGGGCUUACUAUCAUGCAUAUUGAAUAUUUUUAGAAUUUUAAUUACAUAAUCACAUUGAUUCAAAAAUAAUAAGUCUUUUUCUUCAUUUCUCCAAUUUGUAUGCCUAAAAUCUUUUUGACAGGGUCAAGGUCUUUCAUAUCAAAUUCAGAUUUUAGUUUUGAUUUAAUAUUAUCAAUCUCAGACUUAUCACAACUAACAAGCAGCAUAUCAUCCACAUAAAGGACUAAGUAUAAAGAAUUCUUACCUCCAUUACCUUUACAGUAUAGACAGGUGUCAUAUUGACUCCUUUUGAAGCCAAGUUUCAAAGCAAAAGUAUCAAACCUUUUAUAUCAUUGUCCAAGUGCUUGUUUCAAGCCAUAUAAUAAUUUCUUUAAUAGACAAACAGUAUUUUCAGGAUCUAUCUUUUCAAAACCAACAGGAUGUCUCAUGAAAAUUGUUUCAUCUAGUUCACCAUACAGAAAAACAGUUUUAACAUCUAAUUGGUCAAGUUCUCAUUUAAACUGAGUAACAAGGGCAAGCAAACAUCUAAUAGUGAUAUAUUUUGCAAUAGGAGAAAAUAUUUCUGUGUAACCAACACCUUCAUUUUGUGUAAACCCUUUUGCUACUAAUCUAUAGCUUUAUACCUAUCAUUUUUACUAUCUCAUUCUCCUUGUUUUACCUUAUAGAUCCACUUACAAUCUAUCAGUUUUUGUUCCUUUGGUCUAUCAAUAAAAAUCCAUGUUUUAUUAUUUUUUUAUUUUUUUUAUUUUUUGAGGACAUUUUAUCUUCCAUGGCAAAUAUUCAGUUUUUCUUUUCUUUACACUUAAUGGCAUCUUCAUAGGAGUUUGGUUCAUUUUCAAACUGUUCUUAGUAAGUGAAUAAAGAAACAACGUCAUUACUAUCUAGUAGAUGGUCUAAUCUCCAUUCUCUCCUUAUUUCUAGUGAGUUGGUACUCUUCAAGAGGUAAGGGAAUGGGAUCAUGCAAGUUGGACUGAUCAUUUUUAGUCUCUGGAUCAGUAUUACUUCCUCCAGAAGCAGUUUUCUCUAUUUCAGGUACAAGAGUAUCUUGCUCAAUAUGAGCUGAUUCCAUUUCAAUUUGAGCAUCUUUUUCAGUCAAUACACAUUUUCCUUCUAGACAUGGCAUUAAAGUUUCAUUAAAUACGACAUCUUUUUUGACAAUAACCCUAUACCCUUUUUCAGAUUUUACCCUUUAACAUUUUCAUCAUAGUCCAGGAAAAUACAUUUAAUUGACCUAGGUUCUAAUUUUUUAAUGUAUUGAUGAGCAUAUGUAGCACAACCAAAAACCUUUAAAUGAGAAUAAUCCACAGGAUUAUUUGAUCAAAUAGAUUAGGUACUUUAAAAUCUAAGGCUCUGGUAGGACUUCUAUUAAUUAAAUAUAUAACAGUUUUAACAGUUUCACCCCUCCAGAACUCAACAACAUGUAUCUAACUUUAUUUAAUAAAGUCAUAUUAAUUCUUUCAACUAUUUCAUUUUGUUGAGGAGUAUAGGUAACUGUUUUGUAUCUUAAAAUACCAUGUUCUUAUUAUUACAAAAUUCUAAACUAUUAUCUAUCAUUAAGAUUUUUAUUUUGCCAUCGGUUUGGUUUUCAACUUCAGUAUUCCAGCCUCUAAAGACAGAAAAAGUCUCAUCUUUAUUUUUUUAGUAAGAAAAUCAAAUUUUUUCUUGAAAAAUCAUCAAUGAUCAGUAAAAAAUAUCUAAAACCAGAUAAAGUGUUCAUAGCAAAAGGACCUAGCAUGCAAGUAUUCCAAAAUUUGUUUGGAUUUAUGAGGUCCUUUUGGAAAAUGUAGUUUGACUUGUUUUCCUAUAACAUAUUGCUCACAAGAACCAAAAUCACCAAGAUUCAACUUUCCAAAAACUUUUUUUGAUUGUAAAAAAUUCAAACCCCUUUUGCCAAUAUAGCCAGGUAUAUCAUGCCAUAAUUUUGUAAGUGUAAAGUUUUCAGAUAUAACAAAAGCAGUCAAGCCAAGUUGUGGUUUAGCACUCAGGAAGUAAAGGUCAUGUCUCUUAGGGGAGCUAAUAAGUAAGUCAUUGCCCCUAAAAUUUUUAAUAUGUGCUUGACCCAGAUUUAUGUUAAACUCCAUAUUAUCUAACAUACCUAAGGACACCAAGUUCCUCUUUAAAUUAGGAAUAUACCUAGUCCCUUUCAGGAAUAGAACAUUACCAUUAUCCAAUAACAAUUUUAUGGUGUUGAUUUCUUUGACUUUUCAGGUGAAAUUAUUUCCUAUUAUACCCUGCCUUCCUGUAGUCUUUUCAAAAUCAAGGAAGCAAUUUUUAUUUGGACACAUAUGAAAAAAACAACCUGAGUCUAAUAUCCAUUCAUCACUCAGUUGUUUUUCCAUAUUGACAAGGACUAAACUAGUUUAAGCUUUUGUUUUAUUAUAUACUAAAGCAUUAGUCUCAUCAUCAAACUUCUUUUCUUUAAGAUCAUUUUUCUUCUUACAACAAUCUUUAGCAAAGUGUCCUAGUUUUCCAUAGUAGUAACAAUUCUCCCCUUUUGCUUUAUUUUUGGACUUAUUUUUAUCAUUCAAUCCGUUUUUAUUAUUAUCAUUGUAAGGUUUAGAGUGAUAAUUAGAUUUACCAGAAACUUUUCCUCUUGCUAGUAGAUUAUUUCCAUUUUGAUUAUUACUAGACUCUACUUUCAUCUCUAGAGCCUUAUUCCUUAAGGAAUUUAUUAUAAUACCAGUGGUAUGUUCUUCUCUACCAUACUCUAGAGCAACUUUGAUGUCCUUGUAUCUAUCACUAAUGGAGUUUAACAAGACAACAACCAUGAGCCAUUUGAUCUUUUGAAAGUUUUUCAUCACAGUUGGCUAAGUCUUGAGUAAGUUUUAUAAAUCUAUUUAAGUUUUCAUCCAAGUCAAUUGAGGGAUCCAUUUUGAAAGAAAAGAAUUGUUUCAAUAAGAAGCAUUUAUUGGGAGUAGUUUUUGUCACAUAUUUGUUAUGUAGAUUGGUCCACAAUUCAAAAGCAAUUUUUGUUUUACCAAUACUUCUUAUUACAUUUUCAGACAAAUACAAAAAGAUAGUAUUUCAAGCUACUUCUUCUAGUUCAGCUUUCUUUGCAAGGGCUAACUCAACCGGCCAACUAUCAUAUAGGGCCUUGACACACCUCAUUUGCAUUAAAAUAUCCUUCAUUUUUUGACUCCACAUGUUAAAAUUACAUUUUCCAUCAAACUCAUCAACUUCAAAUUUAGCAGAGACCAAAUUGAUAUCAGGCAUGAGUCAUAAGUUUAAGACAAUUUUCACAAAUUGCAAAGUGGCAAUAAGAACACAAAUUAAUAUUAACACAAAUCACAGUAUUACACGUAGUAAAAUAGGAUUUCGCAAAUUUCAUGCACUCACAGGAACAUGUAGGCAAGAUUUAAAAAAAAAAAAAAACAAUAACAGAGAUCACACAUUUAUGUUUCUAGAGUUUCUCCUUCAAGAUCUCCCAAGCACACACUGGUACUUGAUUUAUCUCAGAUUUCCAAGGUCUUGUGGGAGCCUUUGGACAAAGAUUAGUCUCAAGGGGAUUGCUGUGUACGGUAAAUCAAGGGAAAAACUAAAAACCCUAAUUUCUGAAAAAAUAGACUUCACAGAAAAUUGAAAAGAUCUCGCCCAGGGAGUUUGGAAAAACUCGUUUUCAUUCAAAUAUGCUUAACAACAAUUCCAAAGAUUUAGAUCCAAAGCAGAUUGAACAACUUUCUCCAAGAUCCAGGUAUCUUGCUUCUCAAUAAUGGCUCUGAUACCACUGUAGGGCAAGUAUCACACGAUAUUAUUAUUUAAGUCACAGAGAUGAAUGAUUUGCAGAAAGUAAAAGUACAGAAAAUUAAAGAUUCAACACAAGAAAUUAUUUAGACCUAAGCUCCGAGGUUCGAUGACCACUUCCGAUGCCUACAUCCCUCGUUGAGCAUCCAAUACUAUGGAUUACAUUUGGUUGCACUAGAUAGCCUAAAUUGGCAACAAAGAUUACAAAUGUUUAACCCAGUACAUAGAGAUAAAUAAACAAAAACACUUAUCUCUUAGGAAUCCCCAGAUCCUCGAAGAAUCACCAAGAGACUUCACAAAAACUCUCUUAAGGUUUUCGACUCAAGCAGAACCUUAGUUCUCACAAAUAUUCACUCAGAAUAUCACUCAUUAGAUAUUAAACCACACAUAUUACAAGUCUCAAAUAAGAUAUUUGAGAAACAACCGAAGAAAAAUCCUAAUGAAACAAAAGAUGUUUUUCUCUCUUCCAAACAAAGAGUCAAGUCUCAAAACCAUAUGAAAAACCCAACCGGCCAAUCACUGAAAGGCACCAAUAUGAAGCUUCUAGUAUCACAAGCUAACAGCCAAGAUUAAGCCACGUGUCAACAUCCAAGUAAGGGUGGUUACAUAAGAAAUCGCAUUUCACAAAAACGUUUCUUUCACAAAUUCUAGUAGCACCAACAAAUAACCAAGGUUCGAAUCCAACAAAUACUAACAUAGCAAUACAUCAAGCCAUAUCCGACCAUAGCCUACGGAGGAUUUCCAUUACAAUAACAAAUAAUUAUGAAUAGAUUUUUGAUUGAU